AGUUGUGCCUGGCUGGCCUGGGGGUCCCGUGGUGCCUGGACCGCUAGGAGUAGUCUCAGCUGCAGGAGUUGUGCCUGGCUGGCCUGGGGGUCCCGUUGUGCGUGGACCACUAGGAGUUGUGCCUGGCUGUCCUGGAGGUCCUGGUGGUCCUGUGGUGCCUGGACCGCUAGGUGUAGUCUCAGCUGCAGGUGUUGUGCCUGGCUGUCCUGGGGGUCCUGUGGUAAUAGGUCCACUAGGUGUAGUCACAGCUGGAGGAGUUGUUCCUGGCUGUCCUGGGGGCCUGUGGUGCCUU